UACGUAGGGUGCAAGCGUUAAUCGGAAUUACUGGGCGUAAAGCGUGCGCAGGCGGUUUCUUAAGUCAGAUGUGAAAGCCCUUGGCUCAACUGGGGAAGUGCAUCCGAAACUGGCGAGCUAGAGUAUGUAAGAGGGUCGCGGAAUUCCCGGUGUAGAGGUGAAAUUCGUAGAUAUCGGGAGGAACACCGGUGGCGAAGGCGGCGACCUGGGACAAUACUGACGCUGAGGUGCGAAAGCGUGGGGAGCAAACAGG
rnacentral:rRNA from 1 species